UACGUAGGUGGCAAGCGUUGUCCGGAUUUAUUGGGUUUAAAGGGUGCGUAGGUGGUCUAUUAAGUCAGUGCUGAAAUAUCCCGGCUUAACCGGGAGGGUGGCAUUGAUACUGAUGGACUUGAGUAGAGUUGAGGUAGGCGGAAUUGACGGUGUAGCGGUGAAAUGCUUAGAUAUCGUCAAGAACACCGAUAGCGAAGGCAGCUUACUAAGCUCAAACUGACGCUGAUGCACGAAAGUGUGGGGAUCAAACAGG
rnacentral:rRNA from 1 species